AUAAGUAAAGAUGCACUUUUAAAGAGUUUAGGUUUUUGUCGAGGGUCGAGUGUCGAGGGUCCAAUGUCGAGGGCGAGGGUAAAAAGUCGAGGGUCAGGGUAAAAAGUCGAGGGUGAGGGUAAAAAGUCGAGGGUCAUAAAAAAAGUCGAGGGUCAUAAAAAAAGUCGGGGGUCGAAAUUUGCGGGCAAAAUAACUUGUUUAAUGUUGUGACAUGGAUUUAUCAUAUAUAUGU